UUAAAUUACAAAAAAUGUGCUAUUCUCAUGGUGGUUAAGGGAGAGGUUUCUGCCUCGGAUCUGCUAACUCAGUUAAAUGGGAUCUUUUGUAAGAACAAAGAGUGGCCAUGGAAAAUCAGGGAGCUGGAGAACAAGAAAUUCCUGCUAAGAUUUCCCCCUUGGAAAAAUGUGGAUGACCUAAUUGAAUUUCCCCCUUUUGAGCUUCCAAUUGCUGGUGUAUCUAUCAAAAUCUGUGAAUGGAAAGGAAUGCUGGAUGAAUUUGGAGCACUGACUGAAGCCUGGGUACAGAUUGAAGGAAUUCCACCCAAGUGGUGCGCCUGGAAAGUCUUUGCCCAAAUCACAACGUGUUUUGGAAUACUGGUGGAUGUGGACUGGAAUGAUAUUUUCAAGAGAUUCUAUGAAAUUAUUCGAGUCAAAGUUGCCUGCAGAGACCCCAGGAGGAUUCCUUUUGAGAGAUUGGUGGAGGAAAAAAAACUAUACCUGCUGUUCUUUACAGUGGAAGGGUUUGAGCAGAAUGAUGAGGAUGCUGAUGGAGGGGAUGAUGAUCCAGAUCUGGAUAAUCUUGAAGGAAAUGAUGGAAAUAACAAUAAGAAUACUGAGGACAAAGAAGGAAUGGAAGAAGACAAUGAUGAGGCGAUUGAUGAAUUGGACAAUGCCAACUUCCCUACCAAGAUAACCACCUCUUCUAGCUCGGGCAAAAACAUGUCUCAAGUGGCUGCUUCUGCAGUGGAAGUCCAUCAGGUUAGCAUGAGUGAUGUAAUACAAGGAGAGAUUAAUGAUGACCUCGAAGAUUGGACCCCGAUGAAGGCCGAUGGAGGUGAAACUGAGCCAACUUCAAGGUUUGAAAAGUCCAAUGCUCUGUCAGUCCAUCUGGACUACUGUUCGGAACAACUUAAUAAGUUUGAGAUGGAGGAAUCUAAUGUGGAAGAGGGAAACAUCAAUGUGGAGAUGGAAUGCUUACCAGAAGAUCUAACAUUAGCAAUGAAUUCAGUGAAAAGAUCCUUGUUAGAAUCACUGGAGAGGGCGGAUACUAUGGUCAAGAAGAAACUCAAUAUCAAAAACUCACCUACUUGGGGCCCAGCGCUGGCUGACCUAUGA
rnacentral:rRNA from 1 species